rnacentral:rRNA from 1 species
UUGGAGGGCAAGUCUGGUGCCAGCAGCCGCGGUAAUUCCAGCUCCAAUAGCGUAUAUUAAAGUUGUUGCAGUUAAAAAGCUCGUAGUUGAAUUUCGGGAUUGACACAUUGGUCGUGCCCUAAGGGGUAUGAACUGGUGUAGUCAAUUUCUCACCUUCUGGAGAACCGCGCUGUCCUUAAUUGGGUGACGCGGGGAACCAGGACCUUUACUUUGAAAAAAUUAGAGUGUUUAAAGCAGGCUCACGCUUGAAUACAUUAGCAUGGAAUAAUGAAAUAGGACGUUUGAUUCUAUUUUGUUGGUUUCUAGGAUCGACGUAAUGAUUAAUAGGGAUAGUUGGGGGCAUUAGUAUUCAAUUGUCAGAGGUGAAAUUCUUGGAUUUAUUGAAGACUAACUACUGCGAAAGCAUUUGCCAAGGAUGUUUUCAUUAAUCAAGAACGAAAGUUAGGGGAUCGAAGACGAUCAGAUACCGUCGUAGUCUUAACCAUAAACUAUGCCGACUAGGGAUCGGAUGAUGUUGAUUUUUUAAUGACUCAUUCGGCGCCUUACGGGAAACCAAAGUGUUUGGGUUC